rnacentral:rRNA from 1 species
AGAGUUGAUCAUGGCUCAGGAUGAACGCUAGCGGCAGGCCUAAUACAUGCAAGUCGAACGGGACGGGCCCUCGGGGGCCCUGAGAGUGGCGCACGGGUGCGCAACGCGUAUGCAACCAACCCCCGACAGGCGGAUAGCCGGUGGAAACGCCGGAUAAUACGCCAUGGUUCCGGGAGAGGGCAUCCUCUCCCGGGUAAAGCUACGGCGGUCGGGGACGGGCAUGCGUCCCAUUAGAUGGUAGGCGGGGUGACGGCCCACCUAGUCCGCGAUGGGUAGGGGAUCUGAGAGGACGGUCCCCCACACUGGUACUGAGACACGGACCAGACUCCUGCGGGAGGCAGCAGUAAGGGAUAUUGGUCAAUGGGGGCAACCCUGAACCAGCCAAUGCCGCGUGAGGGAAUGAGGCCCUACGGGUCGUGAACCUCUUUUAUUCGGGGACAAGGACUGGGUCGCGAACCUAGUUUGAGGGUACCGAAGGAAUAAGCAUCGGCUAACUCCGUGCCAGCCGCCGC